GUGGGAAAUUUUCCGCAAUGGGGGAAAGCCUGACGGAGCAAGACCGGCUGGGGGAGGAAGGCUCUUUGGGUGUAAACCCCUUUUCUCAGGGAAGAAGUUCUGGCGGUACCUGAGGAAUCAGCCUCGGCUAACUCCGUGCCAGCAGCCGCGGUAAUACCGAGGAGGCCAGCGGUAUCCGGAUUUAUUGGGCGUAAAGCGUCCGCAGGUGGCUAGUCAAAUCGGGGGUCAAAGCACAGGGCUCAACUCCUAAAUGCCGGUUGAAACUGUCAUGCUAGAGUUCGGUAAUGGGCAGGUGUCUUCCAUGUGUAGCGGUGAAAUGUGUAGAAAUGGGGAAUUUCCGCAAUGGGGAAAUUCCGCAAUGGGGAAUUCC
rnacentral:rRNA from 1 species